rnacentral:rRNA from 1 species
GACAGAGGGGGCAAGCGUUGUUCGGAAUUACUGGGCGUAAAGCGCGCGCAGGCGGCCCUUUAAGUCUACCCGUGAAAUGCCGGAGCUCAACUCCGUGCACGCCGGGGGAUACUGGGGGGCUGGAGACAGGUAGAGGCAAGCGGAAUUCCGGGUGUAGCGGUGGAAUGCGUAGAUAUCCGAAAGAACACCUGAGGCGAAGGCGGCUUGCUGGGCCUGAUCUGACGCUGAGGCGCGAAAGCGUGGGGAGCAAACAGG